rfam:Stegodyphus mimosarum contig15075, whole genome shotgun sequence.
GCCUUCGUGGUGUAAUGGUCAGCACACUCGACCUGUAUUCGAGAGGGCCGAGGUUCAAAUCCUGGGGAGGGGA